GGCAGAUGCUACUCCAGGUAACACCCUCGUCUUAAAGUUUCAGAGCUUAAACGCAAGCGGCUGCAAAAAUACCGCAGAGAGUGGGAGGAAACAAAUACUUGGCUGCAGAGUGUUAGCGGAAAUUGUUAUCAAGCCUACUGCACAAUUUGUCGGAGAGCGUUCUGUAGGGUUGCCACCCGUCCUUUAAAAUACGGAAUCGGCCCGUAUUUGAGAAUGAAAUUGCGCGUCCCUUAUUUUUUUGUAUUAAAAGUGGUAACCCUAGGUCCACUACCCUCACCUGGAAAUACAGAAAGCAGUUUGAUGAAUUCUUCACAAUUUCCUCGAUAUUUUCUAAGAAAACACUUCAAACAACAAGAAAACCUCCGAGUUUUCAGAUUUUAAUAGGAUGUGGAAACAAACUAGUUGAACCCACAUUGUCUGAAACACAGCAACUUAAUAGUCUGAUGAUACAUAAAGUGUUUCACCAGGAAGCUAUUUACAUCAGACCUUCAAAGGCAUUGAUUGAAUGUACUACAUGCAGCGAAAAUGAGGAUAUCAUGGUAGACUCAGAAAACUGCAUAACCAGUACACCACAGUCUAAACCGGAAAGCAAAACACAUUCUGGGCAAAGAGUUGUAAAUGAAGUUGUUUAUAUUUCAGAUUCCCAGUAUACACAUUCAAGACAGUGACAAAAUAACCUUAACAAUCAGUGAUGCUGCAUUGCCUGAACCAACAAUUUUGCAUCAAAAAUCUUCAGCUGCAUCAAACAUCAAUUGUAGUAUUGCAGUUUGUUCAGAAAUAAGUGGAGGCCAUUCAACAAAUAUUGGUCAUGAUCCAGUUUUUAUCUUAUCCUCCAGCACUACAUCCUAUACUGAAGAGCCACAAGAUUCAACAAUUAUUUCUGAAAAUGUGCACACUUUGAUGGUUGAACAUGUUUAUGCAAACUACGUCUAGUGGUUACCAGAUGAUGAUGACAGCUCUGUGAAUUCAGAUGACAUCAAUGUAGCUAUAAAUGCCAGCUUGGGAGACCAAAUGAUGAGUAAUCAAGUGGAAAAGACAGCUUGUGAUAGUCUCCAAGAAUUGGCUCAAAAGAUCACUACGUGCUCAACGUCAAAGCUACAUAUAAAUCGUCAUAAUGUAUGGGAUGGGGCCAUAAGAGGGUUAGAAGAAAAACAUUUAGUCCAUACAACAGCCUUUGUGUAAAAUUCUCUGAUGAUUUUGGAAAAUCGGAGGAGGCCAUUGACCUUGGUGGGCCAAGAAGAGAAUUUCUACAACUUCUUAUGGAUCAUCUAGAA